CCUACGGGAGGCAGCAGUGGGGAAUAUUGCACAAUGGGCGCAAGCCUGAUGCAGCGACGCCGCGUGAGGGAUGACGGCCUUCGGGUUGUAAACCUCUUUCAGUAGGGAAGAAGCGUAAGUGACGGUACCUGCAGAAGAAGCGCCGGCUAACUACGUGCCAGCAGCCGCGGUAAUACGUAGGGCGCAAGCGUUAUCCGGAAUUAUUGGGCGUAAAGAGCUCGUAGGCGGUUUGUCGCGUCUGCCGUGAAAGUCCGGGGCUCAACUCCGGAUCUGCGGUGGGUACGGGCAGACUAGAGUGAUGUAGGGGAGACUGGAAUUCCUGGUGUAGCGGUGAAAUGCGCAGAUAUCAGGAGGAACACCGAUGGCGAAGGCAGGUCUCUGGGCAUUAACUGACGCUGAGGAGCGAAAGCAUGGGGAGCGAACAGGAUUAGAUACCCUGGUAGUCCAUGCCGUAAACGUUGGGCACUAGGUGUGGGGGACAUUCCACGUUUUCCGCGCCGUAGCUAACGCAUUAAGUGCCCCGCCUGGGGNGGUACGGCCGCGAGACGUAAACUUAAAUAGAGUAGUACGCGNGAGACGUGCGACGACGACGACGAGGGAGGAGG
rnacentral:rRNA from 1 species